rnacentral:rRNA from 1 species
GACGAACCGUGCGAACGUUAUUCGGAAUCACUGGGCUUAAAGCGCGUGUAGGCGGGCCGGCGCGUCGGUCGCUGAAAUCCCCCGGCUCAACCGGGGAAGUGGCACCGAUACGGCCGGCCUGGAGGGGGUAGGGGGCGCUGGAACUCACGGUGGAGCGGUGAAAUGCGUUGAGAUCGUGAGGAACGCCCGCGGCGAAAGCGAGCGCCUGGACCCUUCUGACGCUGAGGCGCGAAAGCUAGGGGAGCAACGGG